GAUGAACGCUGGCGGCGUGCUUAACACAUGCAAGUCGAACGGAAAGGCCCAAGCUUGCUUGGGUACUCGAGUGGCGAACGGGUGAGUAACACGUGGGUGAUCUGCCCUGCACUUCGGGAUAAGCCUGGGAAACUGGGUCUAAUACCGGAUAGGACCACUUCUUGGAUGUUGUGGUGGAAAGUUUUUUCGGUGUGGGAUGAGCUCGCGGCCUAUCAGCUUGUUGGUGGGGUAAUGGCCUACCAAGGCGUCGACGGGUAGCCGGCCUGAGAGGGUGUACGGCCACAUUGGGACUGAGAUACGGCCCAGACUCCGACGGGAGGCAGCAGUGGGGAAUAUUGCACAAUGGGCGCAAGCCUGAUGCAGCGACGCCGCGUGGGGGAUGACGGCCUUCGGGUUGUAAACUCCUUUCGCUAGGGACGAAGCGUUUUUGUGACGGUACCUGGAGAAGAAGCACCGGCUAACUACGUG
rnacentral:rRNA from 1 species